rnacentral:rRNA from 1 species
AUUGAACGCUGGCGGAAUGCUUUACACAUGCAAGUCGAACGGCAGCACGGGGCAACCUGGUGGCGAGUGGCGAACGGGUGAGUAAUACAUCGGAACGUGCCCAAUCGUGGGGGAUAACGUAGCGAAAGUUACGCUAAUACCGCAUACGAUCUACGGAUGAAAGCGGGGGAUCGCAAGACCUCGCGCGAAUGGAGCGGCCGAUGUCAGAUUAGGUAGUUGGUGGGGUAAAGGCUCACCAAGCCGACGAUCUGUAGCUGGUCUGAGAGGACGACCAGCCACACUGGGACUGAGACACGGCCCAGACUCCUACGGGAGGCAGCAGGGGGGAAUUUUGGACAAUGGGCGCAAGCCUGAUCCAGCCAUUCCGCGUGCAGGAUGAAGGCCUUCGGGUUGUAAACUGCUUUUGUACGGAGCGAAAAGGCUCUCUCUAAUACAGGGGGCUCAUGACGGUACCGUAAGAAUAAGCACCGGCUAACUACGUGCCAGCCGCCGCCGUAAAAC